AUGACAUGUCUUCUGCUUUUCAGAACAUGUUUUGAAGCUGUCUGUAUUGAACGGUAUAAUAUCAGCAGGAUGAAAUAUAGAUUAAUACUACUGCCUACUGGAUCUUCUUUCUCAAGACAAGAUUUCCAAACUGAAGAAAGGUGUUGCAGUAAUUUACAUUCCUAUCAACAGUGUGUAAGUACAUUCCUUUUCCCUGCACCUACAAGUUUUCUUCUGAAAGGAAAAAUUAGAAUUCAAGAUGGAAAGCAAGGUACAUUUAAUUUUGUUUUUUAUACAAUGAUUUAUGAAGACAAUGGUAUAUAUAUCUAUGAGCUGCUUUUGUCUUAUAAUAAGAGUCAAAGAAAUGGAUAGUACUAAGCGUAGUUUAUAGGAUGUAUUUGUAGGUAAUAACUAAUAAAAACUGAGUAUUUAAGAAUUAAGCUUCUUUUUAUUCUAAAGGAAUGUUUUUAGUGUUCAUUCAGUUUUGGGACUAUUUUGGUACUUUUUCAUGUUUCCAGGCCCCAUUCCAGCAAUUACUACUUCUGUUCAAAGAAAAAGUAUGAUCUUUUUCUUCUGUAAACUUCUGUUGCGUUGUAGUCCUUAAUUGGCCUUAAUUACUUUUACCUUCGUGUUCCUCUGAUCCAUGUAUUGCUGUCUGGUUACUGAGCAUUUGAUCUGUUUUCCCUUCAGCUCUGAAUUGCCUUCCAAAAAGAAAAAUGAUAGUUUUAGAAGUAUGAGUGUUAGUAAUUCUCUCAUUCAAAAUCUCUAUUUAUUUUACUGUUUUCCUAGAAGGGUCUGACACUUUAAAUUUGUAUGCUUAAAAAUCAAGUGAAGUAACUUUUAAACAGGAUUCUAUAGCCAAUGUAUGGCUGUUACUAGAGUGAACUGUGCUUAAAAACUUCCCAGGAAACCAUAAGCAUUAAUCUAGAGGAAGGUAAGACCCUGGGUGUCUUCUCUAUUGUGCCAUAUGGAUACUUUCUGUAUGAAACAACCUUUCAAAAAAGUCCUUUAGCUACUUAUGUUCAUUUAAAUGGAAGUUAUUAACUAGAGUUUUAAUUUUAAGCUAGAAAAGUGUUAUAUCAAGAUUGAUUUUUAUGAACGUUUAUUGAGUAGGUCAUGUGCCAGCCAUGUUUGUGAGGCAAAAUGCAAUCCUCAAAACAGUCUCAUGAGCAGAUGUUACUCCCAUAUUCUGUAUAAGCAAACUGAGAUUCAAAGGGUUAUGUAAUUUGUACAAAGUCAGUACAACUGCUUGUUGUGUAUUUCAUCUCUCAUUGCGCUCAGUCAGCAUCCACUUGGACUUCUAACCCGUCACCAAAGCAGAAGACACAGAAAUUGUACGGAAGCCAACUUCAGAGCGUCCACCAGUCGCAUUCCUAUGUUCGACACAAAGGACGCUAUAAUGGCACAUUGGUCCUGUUAAUAUCAGUUAGUCACACCAACUGUCAUAUCCUUUGAGCAUAUCCUUUUUCUUUUUACAGAAACAAACUGCCUCUGGACAAAUGUGCAAGUUCCCACAAAUUUCUCAAUAAACCUGAUAGAUUUCAACUCAGCGAAGGAGUUAAUGACUCCCCUUCCCUACAUUUUGCUUUGACUUUAUUGAUUAGAAGACUUUUCUGCUUUUAGGCAACAUCUUUUUUUGGUGGAAUCUCUACAUUUUUGGUUAAUUCUCAUUACUAUAACUCAGCACAGUUUUCAAUUUCCAAGCUCACAAUUUGAUCCAAAGAAUUGCAAAUUUUUCUGCUUCAUCUUUUAGGUGCAAGCACCUCCUGUGUCUUGGAACAGCCGGAGGGAGUUGGAGAGGUGUCUCUGUCUUCAUCUGGCCCUGGCUUAGAUCUCUUUGUUGGUGGCUAAUGCUUCUCUGCUGGUCCUCCAGGCUUCUGUGUGGAAGCAUCCAAAUAUCCACCUUUGACUGGGGCACAGGGCGUAGUCUCUCCACUUCCCAGUUAUCAGAGUGGAACCCCAUCCCAUGGCUUACAGCCCUGACCAUCCCCACCACCACUAGUCUAGCCACAGAUUUUUGCUGCCACAAUCCAGAAUUUGAGUGGCACCUGGUAAACAGCUUUCUUGGGUAAACUAUGAUGAAAGACAGCUGCAGUCAUAGCUGUCUAUUCCAAGUCAGUCUCUUUGCACCAUAAUGUUGCUUUCAUUCUCUUCCCACACAGGCAGAGCUAAGCAUACCCACAGGCAGCAUCCUUUCUUGUAGGAAGGCCCUCUUGGAAUUGUCUCUAACCACAUUCACACUUUCCAGCCUAUUCAGGGAAGGAUGUUACAUCUUACUUGGAAGUAGUCAUCUUCUCACUGCUUGAGAGGAAGAAGACAAUCUUCUCAUUGUCGUCAAGGCCAACAUCUGCACUGUCCCCUUCUCUUGUUUAGCAGUCAUUCCAACCUUGCCUGCUAUUAGAAUUACCUAGAGAGCUUUAAAAACAUCUUAUUGCCAAGGGUGGCACCACAGUACAAUCAAAUGUCUUUACAAGAGGCAUCUAGGCACCAGUAGAUUUGCAAGCUUCCACGUAAUUCCAAUGUGCAGUCAAGGUUGAGAACCACUGUGAACAGACUGGCAGUGGGGUUGUGAAUAACUGGAAGCCUGAUUUUGCUAUCUCUUAAUUCCUGGCAGAUGCUGGGUGCUAUCUGCAGCUGUUCACAUUCUAAACUGUUAGGAUACUUCUGUCUUGUGGUUUCCAGUCAUGGAUCCUAGACAAUCAUUCCAGGAAAAAUUCUUCUCAAUAUCCUGUUCCACAAGGAUGAAAUGACAUGCUUGAGUAUAGAAAGUGAAGCAGAAAGAGGGCCUUUUGUUUUCCUCAUCUUUGGCCCCUAAAAGGGAGGUUACCAUAAAAUUCAUCACCACCAAGUAUUUGUGCUACAAAUGAGUUGUAUGAACCAGUGCAACAGCUUGCUUUCUAUUCCUUCAUUUUCAGGGCAAAUACAGGCAGACAAUACAUGUGGUUAGUUUUCUCUCCCUCCCUUUUUGUUUGUUUAAGGAAUGCAUAAUACUGAAACUUGUUUGUUGUGGUUUAACUAGUCAUGGUUUGGUUGUAGUGAAAUGUAAAAUGACUGUAGCUAAGGGAGAGAAAUUCCAUCUGUAAAAUUAGAGAACAUAUCCAAAUCUAAAGUUUGAGGAGAAAAGAAAACAUGUUGAUAAAGAGGCAGCAAAGAGCCUCAGUGACAGGGAUCAUGAAAACUUGUGUUGACUGUAUAGUAACAGAAAUUUUAAAGUGAAAGAAAAAAAGGAUUUGCAGUCGGGAGCCUUGUAUUCUAGGUUUCAGUCUGCUGCUAACUGUUUUGGAGAGGCACCUAGAGCAGUAGUUAGUAACCUGGUGUAUGGAGUCUACCUCCACCUGCCUGGAAACCAAUCCUGGCUUUACUACUGACAGGGGGAGUCUCUUAAUUUCUCUGUGCCCCAGUUUCCUCAUCUGCAGAAUGAGGAUCACAGUAGCACCACAUAAGAUUGUUAUGAAAAUGAAAUGAGUUAAUGCUCUAAAAUAUUCCAUGUGAGCAACUGUUAAUUGAAAAGUAAUCUGAGCAUUUCAUUAGGUCUUUAUGUACUUCAAUAUACUCAUCUUUAAAAUACCUAAAAACCUCUAUCUUCCCUCCUUCCAAUACCUAUACAGAUUUGCAUUUUUCAUUUGCCUGGUUAAUUUUAUUUAUUUAUAGAUAAUUAACACUCAAACAGCUUUGGAACUACAUAUAACAGCCUAUCUUCACCAGUGGGAUUAAUAAUAUAACAGAGCUUUGAUUUGUUUUAAAGAUAUCACAAUAAUAAUUAUUAAAUAAGGAUUAGCUAUUCAGGAAGACUAGUUCUUGAGAGUGUCAGAAACAGUUUAUUAUAUGCUAAAAAAUUAGAGAUUUGGACUCCACUGAGGAAAAGUCACCAAUGUCCUUUGCAAUCUAAUUGUGAACUCAUGAUGUCUUCCCUCCAUGUCUUGGUUCCUACUGCUUUUGCUACCUGGAAGCCCUUUGUGUCCAACAGCAUUGCAAAGAGCUGAGCUAUCCUUCAGUCACUAGCUCGAAUACCUCUUUCAUUACACCUUCCUUGAUUUUUGUUGUUGGAAAUGAUCACUACCUUCAGUACCUUGUAUCAAUCCCUCCUACAAAAUUUUGGGCAUUAUAUUCAGAACUAUAGUUAUUUGUCUCCUUAUCUUUGGCCUUCACAUUAGACUAUGGAGCUCAUGCCUGCAUGUAUGGUAUCCUGUAUCAUAAUAUAUAGUCUUAUUUAUUAUACUUUCAGUUCCAGACUACAUGUGCAAAUUGUGCAGGUUUGUUUCAUAGGUAUGCACGUGCCAUGGUGGUGGUUUGCUGCAUCCAUCGCCCUGUCAUCUACAUUAGGUAUUUCUCCUGAAUAUAUCCCUCCCCAAUCCUCCCACCCCCUGCUAUUCCUCCCCUAGCCCCUCACCCCCUAGCCCUCAGUGUGUGUGUUCUCAUUGUUCAACACCCACUUAUGAGUGAGAACAUGCAGUGUUUGGUUUUCUGUUCUUGCGUCAGUUUUCUGAGAAUGAUGGUUUCCAGUGUCUUCCAUGUCCCUGCAAAGGACAUGAACUCAUCUUUUUUUAUGGCUGCAUAGUAUUCCACAGUGUAUAUGUGCCACAUUUUCUUUAUCCAGUCUAUCAUUGAUGGGCAUUUGGGUUGGUUCCAAGUUUUUGCCAUUGUGAACAGUGCUGCAAUAAACAUACGUGUGCAUGUGUCUUUAUAAUAGAAUGAUUUAUAAUCCUUUGGGUAUAUAUCCAGUAAUGGGAUUUCUGGGUCAAAUGGUGUUUCUAUUUCUAGGUCCUUGAGGAAUCACCACGCUGUCUUCCACAAUGGUUGAAUUAAUUUACACUCCCACCAACAGUGUAAAAGCAUUCCCAUUUCUCCACAUCCUCUCUAGCAUCUGUUGUCUCCAGAUUUUUUAAUGAUCGCCAUUCUAACUGGUGUGAGGUGGUAUCUCAAGGUGGUUUUGAUUUGUAUUUCUUAAAACCACAUAAUACAUAGUCUUUAAAUGAAAGACUUUGAACAGAAGAACAAUUCUUAUUUUCCAACUUAAAAACAGUUAAUUUUUUAAAUAGAUGUUUUAAUUUCAUGGCCAA
rnacentral:lncRNA from 1 species